GAUGAACGCUGGCGGCGUGCCUAAUACAUGCAAGUCGAGCGAACAGACGAGGAGCUUGCUCCUCUGACGUUAGCGGCGGACGGGUGAGUAACACGUGGAUAACCUACCUAUAAGACUGGGAUAACUUCGGGAAACCGGAGCUAAUACCGGAUAAUAUAUUGAACCGCAUGGUUCAAUAGUGUAAGACGGUUUUGCUGUCACUUAUAGAUGGAUCCGCGCCGCAUUAGCUAGUUGGUAAGGUAACGGCUUACCAAGGCAACGAUGCGUAGCCGACCUGAGAGGGUGAUCGGCCACACUGGAACUGAGACACGGUCCAGACUCCUACGGGAGGCAGCAGUAGGGAAUCUUCCGCAAUGGGCGAAAGCCUGACGGAGCAACGCCGCGUGAGUGAUGAAGGUCUUCGGAUCGUAAAACUCUGUUAUUAGGGAAGAACAAAUGUGUAAGUAACUAUGCACGUCUUGACGGUACCUAAUCAGAAAGCCACGGCUAACUACGGG
rnacentral:rRNA from 1 species